UAGGGAAUCUUCCACAAUGGACGCAAGUCUGAUGGAGCAACGCCGCGUGAGUGAAGAAGGUUUUCGGACCGUAAAGCUCUGUUGUUGGUGAAGAAGGAUAGAGGUAGUAACUGGCCUUUAUUUGACGGUAAUCAACCAGAAAGUCACGGCUAACUACGUGCCAGCAGCCGCGGUAAUACGUAGGUGGCAAGCGUUGUCCGGAUUUAUUGGGCGUAAAGCGAGCGCAGGCGGAAGAAUAAGUCUGAUGUGAAAGCCCUCGGCUUAACCGAGGAAUUGCAUCGGAAACUGUUUUCUUGAGUGCAGAAGAGGAGAGUAGAACUCCAUGUGUAGCGGUGGAAUGCGUAGAUAUAUGGAAGAAUACCAGUGGCGAAGGCGGCUCUCUGGUCUGCAAACUGACGCUGAGGCUCGAAAGCAUGGGUAGCGAACAGGAUUAGAUACCCUGGUAGUCCAUGCCGUAAACGAUGAGUGCUAAGUGUUGGGAGGCUUCCGCCUCUCAGUGCUGCAGCUAACGCAUUAAGCACUCCGCCUGGGGGAGUACGACCGCAAAGGUUGAAAC
rnacentral:rRNA from 1 species